rnacentral:rRNA from 1 species
UACAGAGGUCUCAAGCGUUGUUCGGAUUCAUUGGGCGUAAAGGGUGUGUAGGUGGCGCCGUAAGUCGGGUGUGAAAUUUCGGAGCUUAACUCCGAAACUGCAUUCGAUACUGCGGUGCUUGAGGACUGGAGAGGAGACUGGAAUUCAUGGUGUAGCAGUGAAAUGCGUAGAGAUCAUGAGGAAGACCAGUGGCGAAGGCGGCUCACUGGCCCGGUACUGACGCUGAGGUGCGAAAGCGUGGGGAGCAAAAGGG